rnacentral:piRNA from 1 species
UCAUUCAUGCCGAGUUGGUGGGACCC